AGCUUUAAGUUUUAUUUAAAGUGAGACCUGCCCAGUGCUAGUUAGUAAACGGCCGCAGUACCUUGACUGUGCUAAGGUAGCAUAAUCAGUUGGCUUUUAAAUGGAGUCGGGAAUGAAUGGAUUAAUAGGGUUAAGCUGUCUCUACUAUAUUAAAUUGAAUUUACUUAUUAGGUGAAAAUGCCUAAAUUGUAAAAGAAAAAAGACGAGAAGACCCUAGGAGUUUUAACUAGAUGCUAUUUAUUAUAGUUAAUGUUUUUGUUGGGGCGACAUUGGAACAAUUGUAUUUAACUUCCUUUAUGUUUAUAGGCCGACUUUGUAUGUAAAUUUAAACUACCCUAGGGAUAACAACGUAAUUUUUUUGAGCUUGCGACCUCGAUGUUGGACUAGGAAUUUGGUGGGCUAGCCGCCUA
rnacentral:rRNA from 1 species